rnacentral:tRNA from 1 species
UUUCUCUGCGUGUAGUGGUUAACGCGCCCCAACUAGAGAUCGGGGAGUCGUGAGUUCGAUUCUCACUGAGAAGA